AUUGAACGCUGGCGGCAUGCUUUACACAUGCAAGUCGAACGGUAACAGGUUAAGCUGACGAGUGGCGAACGGGUGAGUAAUGCAUCGGAACGUGCCCGAUCGUGGGGGAUAACGCAGCGAAAGCUGCGCUAAUACCGCAUACGAUCUGAGGAUGAAAGCGGGGGACCGUAAGGCCUCGCGCGAUCGGAGCGGCCGAUGUCAGAUUAGGUAGUUGGUGGGGUAAAGGCUCACCAAGCCGACGAUCUGUAGCUGGUCUGAGAGGACGACCAGCCACACUGGGACUGAGACACGGCCCAGACUCCUACGGGAGGCAGCAGUGGGGAAUUUUGGACAAUGGGCGCAAGCCUGAUCCAGCAAUGCCGCGUGCAGGAAGAAGGCCUUCGGGUUGUAAACUGCUUUUGUACGGAGCGAAAAGGCACUCUCUAAUACAGGGGGCUCAUGACGGUACCGUAAGAAUAAGCACCGGCUAACUACGUGCCAGCCGCCGCAGUAAUAC
rnacentral:rRNA from 1 species